AAUGAACGCUGGCGGCGUGCCUAACACAUGCAAGUCGAACGGAGCUGCGACGCUGAGGAGUGGAGUACUGUACAAAGCGAAUCUUGUCGUAGCUUAGUGGCGGACGGGUGAGUAACGUGUGGAUAACCUGGUCCAUCCAGGGGGAUAGCAGCUGGAAACGGCUGGUAAUACCGCAUAAGCGCACAGAGAGGCAUCUCUUGGUGUGAAAAGAUUUAUCGGGAUGGAAUGGAUCCGCAUCUGAUUAGCCAGUUGGCGGGGUAACGGCCCACCAAAGCGACGAUCAGUAGCCGGCCUGAGAGGGCGGACGGCCACAUUGGGACUGAGACACGGCCCAGACUCCUACGGGAGGCAGCAGUGGGGGAUAUUGCACAAUGGAGGGAACUCUGAUGCCAGCGACGCCGCGUGGGUGAAGAAGUAUUUCGGUAUGUAAAGCCCUAUCAGCAGGGAAGAUAAUGACGGUACCUGAGUAAGAAGCCCCGGCUAACUACGUGCCAGCAGCCGC
rnacentral:rRNA from 1 species